UGCUGAGCCAGCCUCUGCACGUGCAGUUGGAACAUCUCUGGAUCUAUGGGCGUGUUGUCCAUCUGGAACUUUCAAGGCCAACCAAGGGGACGAGGCCUGUACCCACUGUCCCAUCAACAGCCGGACCACUUCUGAAGGGGCCACCAACUGUGUCUGCCGCAAUGGCUACUACAGAGCAGACCUGGACCCCCUGGACAUGCCCUGCACAACCAUCCCCUCCGCGCCCCAGGCUGUGAUUUCCAGUGUCAAUGAGACCUCCCUCAUGCUGGAGUGGACCCCUCCGCGCGACUCCGGAGGCCGAGAGGACCUCGUCUACAACAUCAUCUGCAAGAGCUGUGGCUCGGGCCGGGGCGCCUGCACCCGCUGCGGGGACAAUGUACAGUAUGCACCGCGCCAGCUAGGCCUGACCGAGCCACGCAUUUACAUCAGCGACCUGCUGGCCCACACCCAGUACACCUUCGAGAUCCAGGCCGUGAACGGCGUUACUGACCAGAGCCCCUUCUCACCUCAGUUCGCCUCUGUGAACAUCACCACCAACCAGGCAGCUCCGUCGGCAGUGUCCAUCAUGCAUCAGGUGAGCCGCACCGUGGACAGCAUUACCCUGUCGUGGUCCCAGCCGGACCAGCCCAAUGGCGUGAUCCUGGACUAUGAGCUGCAGUACUAUGAGAAGGAGCUCAGUGAGUACAACGCCACAGCCAUAAAAAGCCCCACCAACACGGUCACCGUGCAGGGCCUCAAAGCCGGCGCCAUCUAUGUCUUCCAGGUGCGGGCACGCACCGUGGCAGGCUACGGGCGCUACAGCGGCAAGAUGUACUUCCAGACCAUGACAGAAGCCGAGUACCAGACAAGCAUCCAGGAGAAGUUGCCACUCAUCAUCGGCUCCUCGGCCGCUGGCCUGGUCUUCCUCAUUGCUGUGGUUGUCAUCGCCAUCGUGUGUAACAGACGGGGGUUUGAGCGUGCCGACUCGGAGUAUACGGACAAGCUGCAACACUACACCAGUGGCCACA
rnacentral:sRNA from 1 species